CACGUAGGCACCAAGCGUUGUCCGGAUUUACUGGACGUAAAGCGUGCGCAGGCGGUUGGUUAAGUCUGAUGUGAAAGCCCCGGGCUCAACUUGGGAAUGGCAUUGGAAACUGGCGGGCUGGAGUGCGGCAGAGGGGGGUGGAAUUCCACGUGUAGCAGUGAAAUGCGUAGAGAUGUGGAGGAACACCGAUGGCGAAGGCAGCCCCCUGGGCCGACACUGACGCUCAGGCACGAAAGCGUGGGGAGCAAACAGG
rnacentral:rRNA from 1 species